GACGAACGCUGGCGGCGUGCUUAACACAUGCAAGUCGAACGGAAAGGCCCUGCUUUUGUGGGGUGCUCGAGUGGCGAACGGGUGAGUAACACGUGAGUAACCUGCCCUUGACUUUGGGGUAACUUCAGGAAACUGGGGCUAAUACCGGAUAGGAUCUCCUGCUGCAUGGUGGGGGUUGGAAAGUUUCGGCGGUUGGGGAUGGACUUGCGGCUUAUCAGCUUGUUGGUGGGGUAGUGGCUUACCAAGGCUUUGACGGGUAGCCGGCCUGAGAGGGUGACCGGCGACAUUGGGACUGAGAUACGGCCCAGACUCCUACGGGAGGCAGCAGUGGGGAAUAUUGCGCAAUGGGCGGAAGCCUGAUGCAGCAACGCCGGGUGCGGGAUGACGGCCUUCGGGUUGUGAACCGCUUUCGCCUGUGACGAAGCGUGAGUGACGGUAAUGGGUAAAGAAGCACCGGCUAACUACGUG
rnacentral:rRNA from 1 species